UAAGUUAUUAAGGGCGCACGGUGGAUGCCUUGGCACUAGAAGCCGAUGAAGGACGUUACUAACGACGAUAUGCUUUGGGGAGCUGUAAGUAAGCUUUGAUCCAGAGAUUUCCGAAUGGGGAAACCCAGCAUGAGUUAUGUCAUGUUAUCGAUAUGUGAAUACAUAGCAUAUCAGAAGGCACACCCGGAGAACUGAAACAUCUUAGUACCCGGAGGAAGAGAAAGAAAAUUCGAUUCCCUUAGUAGCGGCGAGCGAAAUGGGAAGAGCCCAAACCAACAAGCUUGCUUGUUGGGGUUGUAGGACACUCUAUACGGAGUUACAAAGGACGACAUUAGACGAAUCAUCUGGAAAGAUGAAUCAAAGAAGGUAAUAAUCCUGUAGUCGAAAAUGUUGUCUCUCUUGAGUGGAUCCUGAGUACGACGGAGCACGUGAAAUUCCGUCGGAAUCUGGGAGGACCAUCUCCUAAGGCUAAAUACUCUCUAGUGACCGAUAGUGAACCAGUACCGUGAGGGAAAGGUGAAAAGCACCCCGGAAGGGGAGUGAAAUAGAACCUGAAACCGUGUGCUUACAAGUAGUCAGAGCCCGUUAAUGGGUGAUGGCGUGCCUUUUGUAGAAUGAACCGGCGAGUUACGAUUUGAUGCAAGGUUAAGCAGUAAAUGUGGAGCCGUAGCGAAAGCGAGUCUGAAUAGGGCGUUUAGUAUUUGGUCGUAGACCCGAAACCAGGUGAUCUACCCUUGGUCAGGUUGAAGUUCAGGUAACACUGAAUGGAGGACCGAACCGACUUACGUUGAAAAGUGAGCGGAUGAACUGAGGGUAGCGGAGAAAUUCCAAUCGAACCUGGAGAUAGCUGGUUCUCUCCGAAAUAGCUUUAGGGCUAGCCUCAAGUGAUGAUUAUUGGAGGUAGAGCACUGUUUGGACGAGGGGCCCCUCUCGGGUUACCGAAUUCAGACAAACUCCGAAUGCCAAUUAAUUUAACUUGGGAGUCAGAACAUGGGUGAUAAGGUCCGUGUUCGAAAGGGAAACAGCCCAGACCACCAGCUAAGGUCCCAAAAUAUAUGUUAAGUGGAAAAGGAUGUGGCGUUGCCCAGACAACUAGGAUGUUGGCUUAGAAGCAGCCAUCAUUUAAAGAGUGCGUAAUAGCUCACUAGUCGAGUGACACUGCGCCGAAAAUGUACCGGGGCUAAACAUAUUACCGAAGCUGUGGAUUGUCCUUUGGACAAUGGUAGGAGAGCGUUCUAAGGGCGUUGAAGCAUGAUCGUAAGGACAUGUGGAGCGCUUAGAAGUGAGAAUGCCGGUGUGAGUAGCGAAAGACGGGUGAGAAUCCCGUCCACCGAUUGACUAAGGUUUCCAGAGGAAGGCUCGUCCGCUCUGGGUUAGUCGGGUCCUAAGCUGAGGCCGACAGGCGUAGGCGAUGGAUAACAGGUUGAUAUUCCUGUACCACCUAUAAUCGUUUUAAUCGAUGGGGGACGCAGUAGGAUAGGCGAAGCGUGCGAUUGGAUUGCACGUCUAAGCAGUAAGGCUGAGUAUUAGGCAAAUCCGGUACUCGUUAAGGCUGAGCUGUGAUGGGGAGAAGACAUUGUGUCUUCGAGUCGUUGAUUUCACACUGCCGAGAAAAGCCUCUAGAUAGAAAAUAGGUGCCCGUACCGCAAACCGACACAGGUAGUCAAGAUGAGAAUUCUAAGGUGAGCGAGCGAACUCUCGUUAAGGAACUCGGCAAAAUGACCCCGUAACUUCGGGAGAAGGGGUGCUCUUUAGGGUUAACGCCCAGAAGAGCCGCAGUGAAUAGGCCCAAGCGACUGUUUAUCAAAAACACAGGUCUCUGCUAAACCGUAAGGUGAUGUAUAGGGGCUGACGCCUGCCCGGUGCUGGAAGGUUAAGAGGAGUGGUUAGCUUCUGCGAAGCUACGAAUCGAAGCCCCAGUAAACGGCGGCCGUAACUAUAACGGUCCUAAGGUAGCGAAAUUCCUUGUCGGGUAAGUUCCGACCCGCACGAAAGGCGUAACGAUUUGGGCACUGUCUCAACGAGAGACUCGGUGAAAUCAUAGUACCUGUGAAGAUGCAGGUUACCCGCGACAGGACGGAAAGACCCCGUGGAGCUUUACUGUAGCCUGAUAUUGAAAUUCGGCACAGCUUGUACAGGAUAGGUAGGAGCCUUUGAAACGUGAGCGCUAGCUUACGUGGAGGCGCUGGUGGGAUACUACCCUAGCUGUGUUGGCUUUCUAACCCGCACCACUUAUCGUGGUGGGAGACAGUGUCAGGCGGGCAGUUUGACUGGGGCGGUCGCCUCCUAAAAGGUAACGGAGGCGCUCAAAGGUUCCCUCAGAAUGGUUGGAAAUCAUUCAUAGAGUGUAAAGGCAUAAGGGAGCUUGACUGCGAGACCUACAAGUCGAGCAGGGUCGAAAGACGGACUUAGUGAUCCGGUGGUUCCGCAUGGAAGGGCCAUCGCUCAACGGAUAAAAGCUACCCCGGGGAUAACAGGCUUAUCUCCCCCAAGAGUUCACAUCGACGGGGAGGUUUGGCACCUCGAUGUCGGCUCAUCGCAUCCUGGGGCUGUAGUCGGUCCCAAGGGUUGGGCUGUUCGCCCAUUAAAGCGGUACGCGAGCUGGGUUCAGAACGUCGUGAGACAGUUCGGUCCCUAUCCGUCGUGGGCGUAGGAAAUUUGAGAGGAGCUGUCCUUAGUACGAGAGGACCGGGAUGGACAUACCUCUGGUGUACCAGUUGUCGUGCCAACGGCAUAGCUGGGUAGCUAUGUGUGGACGGGAUAAGUGCUGAAAGCAUCUAAGCAUGAAGCCCCCUCAAGAUGAGAUUUCCCAACUUCGGUUAUAAGAUCCCUCAAAGAUGAUGAGGUUAAUAGGUUCGAGGUGGAAGCAUGGUGACAUGUGGAGCUGACGAAUACUAAUCGAUCGAAGACUUAAUCA
rnacentral:rRNA from 1 species